GGCUAACUGAACGUCCUCUCUCCUCAUGAAGUCUCAGGUCCUCUCCACGUGGUCUCUCCACAGGGCUGGAUCAGGCUUCCGCACAGCGUGGCGGCCUGGACUGCUCACACAGUGGCUGCAGCCAUCAAGAACAGGCAGCCCAGGAAGAAAGUAGCCUCUGCACCUCCUUUUUGAACCUGCCUGGGAAAUCACCGUGGCCCUUGUCUUUUGGUUCUGUAACAAAAACCCGCUCAGAUGCAAGGGGUGGGGACACAGGCAGCGCUUGCUGAUGGGAGCAGUGACAAAGUCACCUUGUGACGUGCACUGGGAUGGGAGACGCUGUUGCGGCCAUCUUUGGGAAAUGCAGUUGUUCACAGGCUGCCAUAGCCCUCCCCUCCCUCGGGGUGGGCCACAUGCCAUCAUUCUCAAGGGAGGGGCCAGGCAGCCGCAGGAGGGAGUCGGGACCCAGGACCACUGGCGGGGCAUCAUCAAUUUCUUUUGAGUGGGGCGGGGGGCUAAAAGGGCUGGCUUUGGCCGAGCUCAUAAAAAUACUUGUUAACCUCCACAGAGGAGUUCCUCCAUGCCAGACGCGCUGCCUCGCGUACUUUACACUCCCUGUCUUGUUUAAGCAUCAGCCUGAGUCUGGGAGGAGAGUCCAUUAGCAUCCACACUUACAGAUGAGGAAACUGAGGCUUGCGGAGGCCAGGGGACAGACACAGUUGCCUUGUCUUUAUCUCUGAACAGUACAGGACCUCUACACAGCGCCUGCUUCUACGUGAGAUGGACUAUCAUGGAAACUACACAGAUGAGGAAAUGAGGCUCUGAGAGGUCAACGACCUGCCUGAGUCACAUAGCCAGCGAGUGGGAGCGUCAGCAACCGAACCCAGAAACACCGCUUCCCAGCCACCUGGCUACCCUCGUCCACCCCUUGCUGAAGCCUCUGAGCCCUGUUCGUGUCUGCUCAGUGACGAGCCUGUCAGUGGCCCAAGGUGAUCCUGGAGAGAGCCGCUCCUCAGUGCCGGGCGAGUGGGCUGUGGGAACCUAAAACCCAUCGUGUUCAUUACAAAUGAA